rnacentral:rRNA from 1 species
UGGGGGAUAUUGCACAAUGGAGGAAACUCUGAUGCAGCGACGCCGCGUGGGUGAAGAAGUAUUUCGGUAUGUAAAGCCCUAUCAGCAGGAACGAUAAUGACGGUACCUGACUAAGAAGCCCCGGCUAACUACGUGCCAGCAGCCGCGGUAAUACGUAGGGGGCAAGCGUUAUCCGGAUUUACUGGGUGUAAAGGGAGCGCAGACGGAGAGGUAAGUCAGAUGUGGAAGCCCCGGGCAUAACCCGGGGAGUGCAUUUGAAACUAUCACUCUUGAGUACUGGAGAGGUAAGCGGAAUUCCUGGUGUAGCGGUGAAAUGCGUAGAUAUCAGGAGGAACACCGGUGGCGAAGGCGGCUUACUGGACAGAAACUGACGUUGAGGCUCGAAAGCGUGGGUAGCAAA